ACGACCUUACUUGAACAGGAUCUGUUCUAUAGGCUCGUACAACUGUAUCCUUGAGUUCUAAGGAGACAGGAACCGAAGUCUGGUUGAUGAAUCAUGACCGUGUGAUCAGAGCGUGAUUAAUGGUCCAGAGCGAAUCCUCCUUAGAGGCUUCCAUCUGUGGCAGUGGAGGAUCGUUCUCACCGCACCAACUGCGGUGGGGUGGUCACACGGUUGUCUGACAGACC